GAAAAGUUUCAUGAUUAAAUGGUUUAUUAGAUUGUGAUUAUGAUUGUUAUUGUUGUUACUUUAAUCGCAACAAUUGGACAAAUUGCUUUACUGGACAAUAGGCUCUAAUAGACCGGAAUCAUUGAAGUCAAAUAAUCAGCAAAUAAAAAAUAAUCAUCUACAGUAAAUUGUUAAUGUUAAAUAAUUUGUUUUGGUAAAGUCAAUGUUGCCUUUUUUCAACGCUUCUUCAAUUUCUCAUCAUUUACUGAUUACUUAACUCUUGAUUGUUCCAAUGAUUUUUUUUUGCCUUUUUUGCUACUUCACGUUGAACAGCUCUCAUGAUGAUUGACCUUAACAUGUUGAUAGGAUCAGAAAUGGUAAGCAAAGGCUUAUGUGUUAUUGUAAUACGAUUGUUUGUUUAUUGACUGUUGAGUGUCUUUACUCAAUCACUUGGUUCAUUUUUGAUUGUUUUUCAUUCUUGGUCAAUAUUAUUCUCAUCAUUUUGUAAGUUCAAGGUUAAUUAACAUUGAUUUUCUUCUCAACUUUCAUUAAUCUGUUAACUGAACCGUAAUCAAGUCCAAUGAACUUGAUACAAUUGUUUCUCUGUUUAAGUUGCCCGCGUCAAAUCGUUGUUCAAUUACUAUUGGUUAAAGAGAGAUCGUCUGUUGAGCGCCUUUCAAUGUGUGCUUUGUUAAUCACAAUUUACUGUUAAUGGUAUAACAUUUAUUUAGGUGAUUUUAAUUUGUUUUUUUGAAUUCUGUUUAUUGUCAUCUUGAGAAAAAUGUUUAAUCAAUUGAUCAACAAUUUAAAUGUAAGCUUGUGUGAUCAUUUCUUUGUUUACAUGAAAGAUUUGACUUGUUUGUCAUCAUCAAUCAUCAACACCAAAUCAAUCCAUCAGCUGCCAAUUUCUUAAUACAGUGAUUAACCUUUACUUUGGAAAUAAUUAAUUGUUACCAAAAAGCUCAAAAAUGGGUCAGGUUGUAUCGUUGAAAGUUGAUUUGAUUCACUUGAACGUUUAGAACUGGACUCAAUGCUUAACCGUUACAGGUUAAUUAUCAAUGGACGAUUGACAUGUAUAAAUGUAUCAGCUAAGUGAAUGUCAACUGGACCUUAAAAAUGAAAUUUCUGACCUUUUUUUCAGGCCUAAAGAUCACAUACUUUUUUCAUGGUCAAAUGCUUGCUAAUGCAAAUUUGUUGACAGAGUCACUAAAAUGGCAAUUAAACAAACGUAUAAAUACUCUGGUCGCAAUCUUGGUAUUGUUUAGUUUGUUUCAAGUUUGUAGUUAGAAUUACAAUUUAAAAAUCAAAAAUGGACAAACAUUAUCAGUUUCUGUUGGUUUUGGUGGCACUUAUGGCUUUAAUUCAACUUUCAACUCAGUAUCUUUACCAUUCCUUUUAUCCUUAUUAUUUCCCUGAUUUUGGUGGAUAUGGAUUUGGUUAUGGAUUCCGAGCUUUUAAUGGGAGAAGAUAAUUGGUUCACUUAUCAUCAUCAUCACCCCUUAACCACUAACACCUCCAAUAACAAUAUUGAAUUGUUACUUCUUACAUUCAACAUCUUGAAAAAGCUUUAAAUGAUAUGUUUAUGUGUUUGUUCAUCAGCUCAACAUGCUAUCAAUCAAAUAAUGAUUCUUCCGUUUGUGAAAAUGAUGUUAAUAUUGUUGUUACUGGUGAUAAUAAUAGUGAUGAUAAUGGCAAUCUUGGAAUAAUUUAUCAACAAUUUUUCAACACAAUUCACCUAUUAAGCUUGAUUUUCAUGGAUUUAAUAUUUAUGUUUUCCAUUUUUCUUCUACAUCGAGUAGGAAGAAAGGUUCAUGCUGUAAUAAAAUUAUGUUAAUCCAGUCAAUAAAGAUUGAUUCUAAUUGUAA